rnacentral:rRNA from 1 species
GAUCCUGGCUCAGGAUGAACGCUGGCGGCGUGCCUAACACAUGCAAGUCGAACGGAGUUAUCGCUGCGGAGGUUCGGCCGAAGCUUGAAUAACUAGUGGCGGACGGGUGAGUAACGCGUGGGCAACCUGCCUCGUACUGGGGGAUAACAGUUGGAAACGACUGUUAAUACCGCAUAAGCGCACGGUAUCGCAUGAUACAGUGUGAAAAAACUCCGGUGGUACGAGAUGGGCCCCGCGUCAGAUUAGCCAGUUGGCGGGGUAACGGCCCACCAAAGCGACGAUCUGUAGCCGGACUGAGAGGUCGGACGGCCACAUUGGGACUGAGACACGGCCCAAACUCCUACGGGAGGCAGCAGUGGGGGAUAUUGCACAAUGGGCGAAAGCCUGAUGCAGCGAACCGCCGCGUGAGUGAAGAAGUAUUUCGGUAUGUAAAGCUCUAUCAGCAGGGAAGAAAGGCCCUUCGGGGAGAUGACGGUACCUGACUAAGAAGCCCCGGCUAACUACGUGCCAGCCGCCGC